rnacentral:rRNA from 1 species
GACGAACGCUGGCGGCGUGCUUAACACAUGCAAGUCGAACGGAAAGGCCCUGCUUUUGUGGGGUGCUCGAGUGGCGAACGGGUGAGUAACACGUGAGUAACCUGCCCUUGACUUUGGGAUAACUUCAGGAAACUGGGGCUAAUACCGGAUAGGAUCUCCUGCUGCAUGGUGGGGGUUGGAAAGUUUCGGCGGUUGGGGAUGGACUCGCGGCUUAUCAGCUUGUUUGUGGGGUAGUUGCUUACCAAGGCUUUGACGGGUAGCCGGCCUGAGAGGGUGACCGGCCACAUUGGGACUGAGAUACGGCCCAGAAUGCUACGGGAGGCAGCAGUGGGGAAUAUUGCACAAUGGGCGGAAGCCUGAUGCAGAAACGCCGCGUGCGGGAUGACGGCCUUCGGGUUGUAAACCGCUUUCGCCUGUGACGAAGCGUGAGUGACGGUAAUGGGUAAAGAAGCACCGGCUAACUACGUG